GGAUGCUCUAAAGCCUUUUAUAGGGUUCAGAUUUCUUUCCUUCCUUUUUCUUUCUCUCUUUCUUUUUUUCUUUCUCUCUUUCUUUUUUUCUUUCUUUCUCUUCCUCUCUUUCCUUCCUUCCUUCCUUUCUUCCUUCCUCCCUCCCUCCCUUCUUUCUCUUUCUUUUCCUUCCUUCCUUCCUUCUUUCUUUCUUUCCUCUUUCUUUCUUUCAUUCUUUCUUCCUCCAUGUUCAGCAUGGAACCCAACACAGGGCUUGAACUCAUGACUAUGAGAUCAAAACCUGAGUUACUCAUGCUCCCUGGGUUCACCUUUUCAAUGUGCACAGACAAUUGCCUGUUGCUUGGCUGAAAUAGAAUUCCUGACUCCCUCCAUCAUUAUCUACACUUGCCUCUAAGAGAGAGAGAGAGAGAAAAGCCUAUUUACUUACCCCUUCCAGACUAGUUAUCAUGGUGCCCACGGGUCAGGGGGAGGUGGGUGAUGGCAAGAGGAUCUGGAAGGCCAAAGAGCUCAGAAACUAUGUUCAGUGGAGAGACAGGGGUGAUACUGUUAAGAUGAACAUGAAGGAAAAAGAGCAAAUGAAAGGAACUGACAGGGCUGAGGAAGCCACUAACAUAAGGAGGAAAUACCUGUGGACAUUGACAAGGAUAGAUCUGACAGGGGAGAGGCAAGGUGAUAAAUGAAUGCAAACCUGUUCCGUCCUUCUUCAAAAGAAAUAAGCUGAAUGUUAGCAGUUCCAGAGGAAACAAGAGUCACAACUUCAUGGCCAGUGCAUUUGGAUUUUGACCUCUUUUUACAGAUGGUUCUGUGGUACCAUAACACUGCUAUCAACAAAAUCUUACUUAUUAUUAUUAUCAUGUUUAGACCUGAAAAGAUGAUAUACAUUUGUGAUCAGAAAUGAGAGUCUGGCAGCUGAGAAUUGGUUUUAAGCAUGUUGGGAAGUGACUGACCUGACCUCAAUUCUAAGUCCCAGAAGGUGGUGGAGAAGGUAAGGGCAUAUGAGCAGGGACUCAGGAAAUCAGUAACAAAGUGAGAAGUGGGAAAUGAUAGGUACUUUCCAAAGAAUUUGAGCAACUCCUCUAAAUUGCCAAUGCUUUCCCUAGUCAGGGAAAAUAUGCUUGGCUACUGUGUGUUCAGUAACAUCUGGAUCCAUAAGACAUCUACAUACAUGAAUAUUCAUUAUAUCUGGCACUUUCUUCUUUGACUGUCAGUCCUUGUCUUUUGAGCCAUUUUGAAAAGUUAUCUUUCUAAGGCAUAGGGUAUGCACUUCUUGCCAGGACAUUAUAUCAUAGACACAAAACACGAGGCUGGGACAAGCUUCUUUGCAGCAAGACUUAGAGGAUAGAAUGGGAACACUGGUAAACCAGAGCUCAGCCCAAACCAGGGAUGUGGACAGCAAAAAAGAUAACCAUUCUAGGACAUCAAGUAAUGUCUGUAGAUUGAUGAAGUUCAAGGAACCAUGUUAGUCAGGAAAUAACCCUCUACUUCUUUCCACAUUGAGGAUUCUGAAGGAGCUCUGUAGGUAAGAUUCUCUUUCCAGACAUUGGCACCAAAUGACCACCUGGAGCCUUUGGCUCUGACGAAUGAGGAUGGACUUCAUAGAGCAGAGAGGUCUCUUUUGACCUCAGUUAAAAUCAGGCUAAUGGCCUCCAUGGCUCCCUGGAUCUGAUCACUCUUAUGGUGAAAAGGGUCAGAAACAAUUAAUCCAAAGGAGGAGUACUUCUUCUGAAGGCUCAGAAGAGAGCUGGUAUGAGCAACCCACUACCAUCUUAGAGCUGGUGGGUAAUGGCAGUCCUAGACCCAUCUUCUCUGACAGCCUCAUGGGAACUUCACGGGUAAGAAAGAAUGCAGAGGAAAGAUGACUCAGAGUCAAGCCAAGACCACAAAGAUGCCGGGGCUCCUAACCUCUUUGCUCUUCAGCCCAUAAGCUUUACUCUCGUCAUUGGGACUUGACAAUAUUGUUGACCUGACCCAUAUCAGUUCUUCCUACCCCAGGGAUCACACAGCGAGGGACCUCCAAAGUGCCACAGCUGAUCUGAGCAUCAACCCUAAAUCUCACACAGUCAGGUGUGCAAAUAAAUAUUUGUCACCUCCUGAACCCUUCAUGCCCUUGGAAUGCCAGACAUUUGCUCCCUGUUUUAUAAAGAUUUUUAAUACAGAAUCUUCACUGCAACCUGUGUAGGAUUAUCUAUCAUGUUACAGAUGGAGAAACGAAGACUCAAAAGGAUGAAGGACUUUGCCCAAGGUCAGGUUGGUGUGGGAUGUUACCUCCAAAGCCCAUGUUUUUCCUUCCCCACUGCAUUUCUCCUGGAUGGAGAGUGUGUGAGCAGAGCUGGGCAGGACCUUCUAAGAAGCAUGGUCUGUCUGAGACAAAAAUAACUUCACCCUUUCUUUGUCAUCCAAGAGUAUCCUCAUGAAUGUCCUCCAUUGAAAUGCAUUAUAAUGCAGUCAUACUCCAUGAAACAUGUGGUUCAGUUUGCCUGUACGCCAAAUGUCCCUGGCCAACGGGGCACUUAUCAGUACUUUUGCUUCUAGCACUGCCUGCUAUGGACGGUACUUCUCAGCAGCUUCCAGUCCUUUCAGUAUCUUUGUGCACAUCUGCUGUGAGCGGGCCUGAGGACGCCUCCGCCUUUCCCAUCAAUUCAUGAGAGCUUUCUGCUGCCCGAAGACCUUUUUCUCUGAUUUCAGUAUUCACAGCAAUAGCCUGAAAUGGCUGGAGUCACCCAAUACCCAGUUUCAGCAUCCCAGAGGGACUAAUCAAACCGGACUUAUAGACUGAACUGGGUAUUACUGAGACUUUUAAUUUUAGAGACUUCCCCUAUACUCUUCACACAGCUGCUUCUAAUGUGAGCAUCUUACAUAGCCAUGGUGCCUUGGCCAGAGCAAAGAGAUCCACGCGACCUGUACGCAUACUUGCAAUGGGCAGAGCACGGGAGCCCUACGUAGGUAACAGAUAUUUCCUAAUUUGCUACGUGAUCUCAUUUGUACAUAAUAGUCCAGAAAGCCACUUUCCUCUUGAUGCCUCAGCUUGGGAAGUUCUUUGUGACAAAGUGUUCUAUGUCCCCUGGCCCCACUGGAAAUUUAUAGCCAUUGCAAAUUCAAACUUUUGGUCCUUUUCUUCUUUAUUAUAGAAAUGAAUUCUAUAGAAUUCUGUAAGUCUGUCAUUCUAUCUAAUUCUAUAUUACAGAAUUAAGAGAAAGAAUGAGAUGCGCUUAAAGCAGAAUAGCAGCUAAGUGCAUAAUUUCAUCAUUCCUGGUUUGAUUUUGUUUAUCACGUCCGCUCAGGUGCCCGUGGACUCAUACUAUUUACUUAACCAAGUAUGGAAGAAUAAAUAUUGCCACACUCAUUUCACUUGACCCAGCGGAUAAAAUCCAUCCUGCGGUUUCUCUCUCCCUUAGCUUUCAGACAACCCGAGUACAGCCACUGGAGAAUGUGGUGAUUUCUAAAGAAAACUGGUAGACUGGGAUUGCUGUCUUAUCAGUUCUCUAUUUAGCACCUGUGUAACAACCAGAUAAUACAAACACAGCAAAGAAGAAGGCUAAAGAGAGAACAGAGGGAGGGAGGAGAAGAAAGAAAAAGGUUUUUUGUGUGUUUUGUUUUGUGUUUUUAAGUUGUUGAGGCAGAGAAGAAACCAGGAAUGAAGAUGUACAGGAAUGAACUUGGAAGACAUCCAGGUGGCGGAAAAGGAGAUGACGAAAUGGAGGCCGAGAGAAGGGAAGCUACUCACCUACGGCAGCUGCACUCGCAGUUUCUCUGGAACUUGUCCAAGGAUAGCCCUGGCCACAGAAAAGAAAGGACAUCAGCCACUGGGGGACACUGCCAAGUGGACUCUGACCGCCCAGACCACGGCAGACCCACUGGGGCCAUGGCUGGCCUCAGCCCCAGGAUGGCUCCAUGUGCACAUUGCCUGCCACCGGGGGUCCUGUGGGUUUGCCUUUCUUCCUAGAUGAGCAGUCGGGGGCUAGCGAGGGAGUAGCAGAGGCUUUGGAGUCCGACGGGUCUGGGAUCAAAUUCUUGCUGAGCCUCUGGACCCUGAGUGACUGUGGACAAGUGACUUCACCAUUCUGUCCUCAGCUUCGCCAUCUGGUAAAAGAGAGCAGUAAUACCCAGCACAGAGUUUAUGGGGAGGAGCAUAGGAGCCAAAGCACCUAAAAACAACAACAAAAUUAGGCAUAUAGCACUUUGCACAAAAUACAUGCUUAAUACAUGAUAUUAAAUGGACAUUGCAGAGGUUACGUAUUGUAAUGAGCCCUGGGUAUUCUAGAAGACUGAUGAAUCACAGACCUGUACUCCUUGAAAUAAAUAAUACAUUUUAUGUUAAUUAACUGAAUUUAAAUUUAAAAAUAAUAAGUGAUAUUAUUGUUCCAACAGACAAGCAGAAAAACAUUCCUGUUUCUUUCUUCCAAGCGGCCACCUUGGGCCAAGUCGCGAACUCUUCCAGUGGAGCCAGGCUCUAUGGGAGGUUUGCAGAAGCUUUUUGGCCCAUCUUAACCAUAUGUUAGGGCAUUUUGGAAGCCAUUUACAAGUGAGGGUCAGAAAGAGUUAAUAUAUCAGAACAAGGGUAACACUUCUCUCAGUGGGGAGGAGGAAGGGCCAUUGCCCCUUCACUUUCCAAGAGGAAAAUAGAAAAGUCCCUAUUUUGCAACAACCCCAAUUCUACAGCUGCAAAUUCAUGUGAGAGUGAAUGAUGCCUCUUUAAAAAAAAUGAAACACUAUACCUGUCAGUGUGAGCUGACUGCCCAACUUUUUAAGGACCAGAAAAUGAAAUAAAGAAAAGAACUCUCAACAGGGAGGCCACCGUGUCACUGAGGAGAACGGAUCAGAACAAUGACUGAGUGGCUGGCUGAGGCCACCUGCCUUAGAGGCGGGAGUUGAGUCAAUAAAGGCACUAAACAAACAGUCGGGUUUUAGUGCUCUAAAUCAGUUUGUACAGUGGUUAAAGCUUGUGGGCCGAGGAGCCCCGAAGGCCUGCACACAGCCUCUGUUAAAUCUGAGCCCAUCUCCUCAGCCAGGGCGCUGCUGACUCAGCGCCCUUCCCGGCAACAUGGGGGGCCCCAUUAGGGUCAGAAGCUGACAGGGUAGAGCAGGGGACAGAGACGUCUCAGGGACCAGGGACGGGCGUUAGUGCCUGUGUCCCUGGGCAUGCUGGCUCCCCGAACUGUGGGACAAAGUGUUGGCUGCUUAUUCCUUGCAGAGAGGGGCGUUGGGUCCCAUCACCUGAGUAAAGCCGACCCUCAGGUGAAGAGAACGACAUGGAAGAAAACAAGCAUAAAACACUGUCGGUUACAGUCUUGGAAAAUAGCUUUUAAGUUUCUUGCUCCAAGGUGGGGAAAGGACCUGAGGGAGGGGGUAGACUUUAGCGACAGAGAGUCCUUUAGAAUCGGGCAGAUUAGAAUUAAGAAACUUUGAGAAGGGGCACCUGGGUGGCUCAGUGGGCUAAAGCCUCUGCCUUUGCCUUGGGUCAUGAUUCGGGGUCCAGGAAUUGAGCCCCACAUCCGUCUCUCUGCUCGGCAGGGAGCCUGCUUCCUCCUCUCUCUCUGCCUGC